rnacentral:rRNA from 1 species
AUUGAACGCUGGCGGCAUGCCUUACACAUGCAAGUCGAACGGUAACGGGCCUUCGGGUGCCGACGAGUGGCGAACGGGUGAGUAAUGUAUCGGAACGUACCUUUCAGUGGGGGAUAACGUAGCGAAAGUUACGCUAAUACCGCAUAUCCUGUGAGCAGGAAAGCAGGGGAUCGCAAGACCUUGCGCUGAUUGAGCGGCCGAUAUCAGAUUAGCUAGUUGGUGAGGUAAAGGCUCACCAAGGCGACGAUCUGUAGCGGGUCUGAGAGGAUGAUCCGCCACACUGGAACUGAGACACGGUCCAGACUCCUACGGGAGGCAGCAGGGGGGAAUUUUGGACAAUGGGGGCAACCCUGAUCCAGCCAUGCCGCGUGAGUGAAGAAGGCCUUCGGGUUGUAAAGCUCUUUCGGCCGGGAAGAAAUCGUAUGGGUUAAUACCCUGUGCGGGUGGCUAAUGACGGUACCUGCAGAAUAAGCACCGGCUAACUACGUGCCAGCAGCCGCCGUAAAAC